UACGUAGGGACCAAGCGUUGUUCGGAUUUACUGGGCGUAAAGGGCGCGUAGGCGGCGUGGUAAGUCACUUGUGAAAUCUCUGAGCUUAACUCAGAACGGCCAAGUGAUACUGCUGUGCUAGAGUGCAGAAGGGGCAAUCGGAAUUCUUGGUGUAGCGGUGAAAUGCGUAGAUAUCAGGAGGAACACCAAUUGCGAAGGCAGCUCGCUGGGACGUAACUGACGCUGAGACGCGAAAGCGUGGGGAGCAAACAGG
rnacentral:rRNA from 1 species